AAUGGGGGAAACCCUGAUGCAGCGACGCCGCGUGAGUGAAGAAGUAUUUCGGUAUGUAAAGCUCUAUCAGCAGGGAAGAAAAUGACGGUACCUGACUAAGAAGCCCCGGCUAACUACGUGCCAGCAGCCGCGGUAAUA
rnacentral:rRNA from 1 species